rnacentral:rRNA from 1 species
CAGCCGCCGCGGUAAUACGAAGGGGGCUAGCGUUGUUCGGAAUUACUGGGCGUAAAGCGCGUGUAGGCGGGCGUUUAAGUCAGGGGUGAAAUGCCAAGGCUCAACCUUGGAACUGCCUUUGAUACUGAAUGUCUUGAGUCCGGGAGAGGUGAGUGGAACUGCGAGUGUAGAGGUGAAAUUCGUAGAUAUUCGCAAGAACACCAGUGGCGAAGGCGGCUCACUGGCCCGGAACUGACGCUGAGACGCGAAAGCGUGGGGAGCAAACAGGAUUAGAUACCCGGGUAGUCCCUGUCUCUUAUAC